rnacentral:rRNA from 1 species
UACAGAGGUCCCGAGCGUUGUCCGGAAUUACUGGGCGUAAAGAGCUCGUAGGUGGUUUGUCGCGUUGUUCGUGAAAACUCACAGCUCAACUGUGGGCGUGCGGGCGAUACGGGCAGACUUGAGUACUGCAGGGGAGACUGGAAUUCCUGGUGUAGCGGUGGAAUGCGCAGAUAUCAGGAGGAACACCGGUGGCGAAGGCGGGGUCUCUGGGCAGUAACUGACGCUGGAGGAGCGAAAAGCGUGGGGAGCGAACAGG